rnacentral:rRNA from 1 species
GACGAACGCUGGCGGCGUGCUUAACACAUGCAAGUCGAACGAUGAAGAAAAGAAAUGAAGCUUCGGCAGAAAUUCAUUUCGGAUUAGUGGCAGACGGGUGAGUAACGCGUGAGCAACCUACCUCUUACAAAGGGAUAGCCUCGGGAAACCGGGAUUAAUACCAUAUAACAUUGCGACGAAGCAUUUCGAUGCAAUCAAAGCUACGGCGGUAAGAGAUGGGCUCGCGUCCCAUUAACCAGAUGGUGAGGUAACGGCUCACCAUAGUAACGAUGGGUAACCGGCCUGAGAGGGUGAACGGUCACACUGGAACUGAGACACGGUCCAGACUCCUACGGGAGGCAGCAGUGGGGAAUAUUGCACAAUGGAGGGAACUCUGAUGCAGCGACGCCGCGUGAGUGAUGAAGGAAUUCGUUUCGUAAAACUCUGUUCUAUGGGAAGAAAAGGACUGUACCAUAGGAGAAAGCUCCGGCUAAAUACGUG